AAUUUUUUGCCGCCGGGUAAACGAAGCGUUGAAUUUUGUAUCGACAGGCCUUUGAAGAUACAAAAAGCUCAGCGCUUUUUUC
rnacentral:ncRNA from 1 species